rnacentral:rRNA from 1 species
UACGUAGGGUGCGAGCGUUGUCCGGAAUUAUUGGGGCGUAAAAGAGCUCGUAGGCGGUGUGUCACGUCGUUCGUGAAAAACCUGCAGCUUAACUGUGGGGCGUGCGGUCGAUACGGGGCAUCACUGGAGUUCGGCAGGGGGAGACUGGAAUUCCUGGUGUAGCGGUGAAAUGCGCAGAUAUCAGGAGGAACACCGGUGGCGAAGGCGGGGUCUCUGGGGCCGAUACUGACGCUGAGGAGCGAAAAGCGUGGGGGAGCGAACAGG